rnacentral:lncRNA from 1 species
GAGCACUCGUCGUGUCCAUCAGUGCAUCCAUCGGUGCCUCCUGCUCAACAGGAUGGAAUUCAGGCGUCGGCUGAUUCACAGAAGGCUCCCCGGAGGAAGCACUAGCACUCGUCGUGUCCAUCAGUGCAUCCACCAGUGUAUUUGUGGUGUAUCCCGAACUCCCGGGCGGAUGAGCCAUUACAAUAUCCCCCCCCUGUCGCAGCAGCUGCGGAUUCCACACAAAAAAAAAGACUUAGUAUGAAAAAAAAAGACUUAGUAUGCUCGUGGGUAUCCGGCAAAAUAAACAUAAUAAUCCUAGUGGAACCCGGGGAAGGAGAAGGAGGAUUUUCAUCCAAAAUAAAUGGAUAAAGGUAGCCUUGUAUUUAUACUUAUUCCCAGAGGCAGAGGCGUAGUGCUUCCUACCCCCAGACCCUGCCGUACUAAAAGCUCGUGCUCCAGCCCCCUGAAUUGCUGUUAUUCUUGGCCGUUCAAGAAUCACUGUUUUCGUGAUCGAAUGACGAAAUAGAUAUAUGAACUGUAUAGUAUCAUUUGCUGGGAUGGGAUAAGUGAUUCUUUUAUAGGAUUCCCAUGGGAUCGUAGAAUCAAGUAAGGAUGCAAUCGGUAUUUGUGAUCGAUUAGCUUCCAGUAUGACCGAUGACUUUCUAUCUGGAUUCGGAAUAACCACACAAUCAGGUUGUUGGUUCAACCCAAAAUGGAUUUUCUUCUUUCUUGAACGGAAUUUCUUAGGAUUAGCAUAAGAAUUGGUCAAAAAAGCCCCGAUCUUCCAUUGAGAAUCAUUGAUACAGCUCCCCAUUUUUUCCAUUAUCGAAUAUAUCAUUUUUUCCAUUAUCAAAUAUAUAAAUAAAUGAUUAGUCUUUAAAAAGAAGGAAUGGCCUUUUUUACGAAUGAGAGAUCCUAUAAAAUGAAGAGCGCUUCGUAAACAAAUCAGUGUCUUGUCUGAAUCGAGAAUAGCAAUUCCAUUUCUGGAACCACGGGUAUAGACUUUUAAAUGGUGAGCAGCUACCCGACGGCCGAGAUGUGCAUUCGUACAAAGUAAUUUUGUACAGACAGUUGAAAGGAUUGUCAUUUCCGGUUUUCGUUUCCGGAAAUACAGGUGGUAAGUUAGAAAUGAAAAUAGGUUAGCAGCUGAUCUUCUAACCACUCAGCAAUCAGACCGGCAGGAAUCAGUACCUAUCCCUUACGGGAAUCGAACCCGUGUCUUCGACAUGAAAAGACGAGAUCUUGAACCGCUAGACGAAAGGGACAACACUUUAGUACUUACUAUAGUACUAUAUAUUAUAUUGAUAUUGGGUCACUGAACACUGUCCAAUACCGGUUUCGGAAGGUUCAAAUGCAUGUUCCCAAUCUUUGAUUCUCGUCUCGUUUCACUUGCAUUUUCUUUCGUUCAGUCUCGCUCUCGUUCAUGAGUGGAAUUGAACCACUUACUCCGUUUGGAUUUACAGUCCAAAGGGCCCAGGCCCAGCGAACGAAAGAGGAUUUACAGUCCCACGCCCACUGCCCUGCAAGAACCAUUUUCUUGCUUGAUUUUUAUACGAUUUUUUGAGCAACUAGCGCGAAAGCCGUUGCGCUAACGCGCAUUCUCCACCACACCAUUUCUAUACGCAUUUUCAGAGGAGCAACAUGAGACUUGAUUUUCCUUUACAAGAUGGCCAUCAAAGAUUAGCAAAGCUAUACCAAAAAUAGGUUCACGUAAGAAAGUGCGUAUUGGUUUGCGUAGGAAUGCCCGUUUUAGUUUACGGAAGAGUGCACGUAGAAUAACAAAAGGGGUUAUUCAUGUUCAAGCCAGUUUCAACAAUACCAUUAUAACCGUUACAGACCCACAAGGUCGGGUGGUUUUCUGGUCCUCCGCAGGUACUUGUGGAUUCAAAAGCUCAAGAAAAGCAUCACCCUAUGCUGGUCAAAGAACAGCAGUAGAUGCUAUUCGUACAGUGGGUUUGCAACGAGCAGAAGUUAUGGUAAAAGGUGCUGGUAGCGGAAGAGAUGCCGCAUUACGAGCCAUUGCUAAAAGUGGUGUACGGUUAAGUUGUAUACGCGAUGUAACACCUAUGCCGCAUAAUGGAUGUCGACCCCCUAAAAAAAGACGUCUGUAAAAAAGUGAAACCGCUUUCAAGAGAAAUAAACGAUUCAAUGAUCAAAUAAUAAUACUAGUCUGUUAUGGUUCGAGAGGAGGUAACAGGAUCCACCCAAACACUAGAGUGGAAGUGUGUUGAAUCAAGAGUAGAUAGUAAGCGUCUUUAUUAUGGUCGUUUCAUUCUGUUCCCGCUUAGAAAAGGUCAAGCGGAUACUGUCGGUAUUGCCUUGCGAAGAGCUUUACUUGGAGAAAUAGAAGGAACAUGUAUCACACGCGCCAAAUUUGGGAACGUGCCACACGAAUAUUCUACAAUAGUAGGUAUUGAAGAAUCCAUACAAGAAAUUUUACUAAAUUUGAAAGAAAUUGUAUUGAGAAGUAAUCUCUAUGGAGUUAAAGACGCAUCAAUUUGCGUCAAAGGUCCUAGAUACAUAACCGCUCAAGAUAUAAUCUUACCGCCUUCCGUAGAAAUCGUUGAUACGACACAACCUAUAGCUAACUUGAGAGAGCCCAUUGAUUUCUGUAUUGAGUUACAGAUCAAGAGAGAUCGCGGAUAUCAUACGGAACUCAGAAAGAACUCUCAAGAUGGAAGUUAUCCUAUAGAUGCUGUAUCCAUGCCUGUUCGAAAUGUGAAUUAUAGUAUUUUUUCUUGUGGGAAUGGAAAUGAAAAACACGAGAUACUUUUUCUAGAAAUAUGGACGAAUGGAAGUUUAACUCCUAAAGAAGCGCUUUAUGAAGCUUCUCGUAAUUUGAUUGAUUUAUUUCUUCCUUUUCUACACGCAGAGGAAGAGGGCACUAGUAGCCUUAUCACGUCAGGUAGCUUGCUAUCCGAACAACUACGAUAUAUGCCGCUUCGCUACAACUACUACGCCUAUGGGCAAAGAUCACUUGAAGAUAGAGAGUCAUGGGCAUCUAUCAAGUACUGGAGGCAAGCUCGUCAACUAGUACAUAGCCAUAGCAUAGCUAUGAUGAGUCCAAGGUUUACGCAUCCUAUUUUCGCCAGCAUAUCUUCUCAAUCAGCUUCCGAACAAGACGACCCAGCGCAACACUACUACGCCCUAUUGCAAGCGUUGUCAACAAUACAUUAGGAAUGUGAGGCAAGCAAGCAUGGCACAGGAAUCUAUUCUAUAAGAUUGGUAAUAGUGUCUGUGUACUAGGAGAACAGGAUAUGUUAUGAGAAGAGUGACGUGGGAAUAGAUUGCAUUUCAAAAAGAAUCUAUACACUCAAUAAGCCAGAACGGGAAGAUUCAACUGCAAAAAGAACUGGUACGGUGUGAGAAGAGGCCUAUUCUCAAUAAUGAACAAGAUGAUGCAACUCUAGUUGCUGGAGGCAGAGGACGUGGACGCGGCAGGAAUAGAUCCAGGGGGAGGACGCGAAUAAAAAAGGCUAUGAGGAUCAUAAAAAUUGAGGUGGAGGGAUAAUUUUUCACUAAGGAUCGAGUAGAGGAAGACGUCAGUCUUUCAGUUGUAGAUGAUCAUUUACCGAAAAAGAUGUACAUUCGAAUGAAAAAAGAGGGCCUGCCCGAGAGGAAAUAAAGAAUAUUCAUUUGCGGAUUCUUCCGAACAAGCAACGGGUUGAGCAACUAGCGCGAAAGCCGUUGCGCGUUUUGGUUUGCUUUAUCCGCCAUAGUAGAAAGAAUAAGCUGCUUCUUGUUUAGGGCGGGCUAUCUUGACUCUUGAGCCUGAGAGGGAGAAGGCUUCCCGCGUGGGCGGAUUAGCAAUCCCUAGUCUUCCAUAACGCGUAUUGGACUUAUGUUUCCUCCUCCUCGAAGAUGAUGGAUCUAUCUGGUCACCGAAGCUAAAUGGACCCGAGCUGUUGAUGACCGAAUAGAAAGGUUGAUUUUCAAUGGCAAGUCCUAGAUGAUGUAGGCUUUGCUUAUCCUGGCCAACCACAAAGUACGCAUCUCAUGUGCAAAGAGACGAUCUUCCGUCAUAGACUAUAAUAAAUAGUAAAUGGACCGAUCACCAGUUUAUUGGCUCGUUCAUUCACUCGCUGGGUAAGGAGGCUGUGACUUACAAGAUGUCAAAGGGAAAGUAGAACUUCUUCGGUAAAGGGCUUUAAGCGAGUAGGGGUAGCUGAUACUACGGCAGGGAUUCGCGAAGAGCAACGCCUUACGAUGUUCAUGACCAAUUGGUCAGCAUCUAGCAAGAAAAUGGAUGCGUGUUAGCGCCGUGGCUUUAUGCCCUUUCUACCUACAUCGAUAAUAGUGGAUUCAGCAGGAACUUAAACAACUCAUCAUUCAUUUCUCGAUCAAUUUGAAACCUUUUUUAAAAAAAAAGUCCUUCCAUGAAUCUAGGGAAGGAACUCUGACUUCACCAACUCUUCCUUUCUUUGCUCGAAGGCUUCAGGUCAAGAUCCUUUUUCCUAUCUAUUGAAGAUGCUUCUUCCUCUUCAAGUUGGAAGUGCAAGAAGAAAUGCGGUAAAGCGGUAAAUAGGAGUUCCAUCUACCACGCACUCGCCCCACACUCCAGCGAACUUCAGCAUCCAUACUCAGCUAGGAGGAAGGUGCCGGGGACACUAUGAACACACAUGUACUUGGUUGACUUCACGUCCCGUCUCACAACCGGGUAAGAUCAAAUAAACAAACAGCUUGCUUGCCCAAUCCCUAUUGAGAGGAUUUCUUGAGCUUGAACUUCCUUUUGUAGCUCCGCUCACAGGGACUUCUUUUCAUCCGCACUACAACAAUUUGAAGAAAUCCGCAAGUGACUAUAAUUUGAAUUCACUAGUCGUGUUGAGUUGAGGCUUAUUUCAAUAUAACAAAUCUGCCAAUCCCGAUAUUCCCACAUUUCAUUCUGGUCCAGUGUCCAUUCCUGAAUGAAAGAAAUGAGCUUUUUUCUGCGCCCCUUCACUCACUUCUGAAUGACUCCUUUAGCACUCCUUUUUUUAUAUAAAAAAAUAGAUACAGUUUACCUUUACCAUACCUUCCCAAGCAAGAGUGUUUUUGCAAGCUUUUUUAUAGCAGCUUCCUAGGGCUGGGCAGCAAGUCUCUUAUCCAUAUUGAAAGCAGAAGUUUGAAAGUUUUGAUAACAGGUUCUAUGAAAAGCUAGCAAUCCUGUGAGUUUUCCAAAAGUGAGGCUAACAAUAGCUAUUAAGUCUACUCUUAUGGAGAUGAUUGAGUGGAAGUUGGAUAAGGAUUGGAGUCGGAUAGGGUGGGAGUAGGUCCAGCCGAGAGGGCCAUAGGAGUGGUCCGGACGAGCUUACUCUUAGCCAUUGGAAGUAGUUGCUGAUGGAAAAGUCAGAGUUGCUUAGGUUUAGUGUUAACUAUUAAGUUUUACUCUAAGUUGAAAUUCAAUCUUUAGAAAUCACAACUAGAGGGUUAGUACUUGGAUCGAACUCUCGGCUUUGUUUGGGGCAUUUUUUCUACCUUGGGUGACCUAAGGAGAGAGAGGGAUCAUCAGUCUGAGCUAUGGUUCCUGCAUCGAAAGGAUUCAAAUAACGUACCAGAAUAUGUACAGAGGCAUCUUCUUUAUCUCUCUAUAUGGGAAGAAUUACGGUCAAGGACUUACCUUUUCUUUCUGAGCUCAUUCUUUUCUUCCCCAGUACUGUGCAUUGGAUCAAUUAGAACUACAAAUGUGCUUCAUCUUUUGUAGGUUCUGGGAUUGCUAUUCUAUUUGAAAGAGGAUGGAACGUUGGACAUACGAGUGCCCUUCGAGCGAUGGAGGAACCGCCUACACAUCCCCACCUUAAUAGCUCAAUUGCAAAAGGAAGAAAAAGAAAUCAAUCUGACUAACCUCUCUCUCAGCAACAUAUCAGCUUUCUAGCAUGCAUAUUUGAGAGUUACAUUGCAGGAGAAAAGAUCAGCUAUACUUUUGUUGUUUGAAUAAAAAACAAUUAGCCACACUUGUUUGAAUCCUUUUGUAUCAACCCAUAAUUUAGCAUCAGGAUCCAUGAUUCUUUCCCUUGAUAAAAAGAAAUUCUGUCCUCUCGAGCUCCAUCAUGUACUAUUUACUUACAAAGAACCCAGCACAAAUUCGGUUUUGGAAGAAUAGAACAAACUAUGUUGAGCCAAGAGCAUCUUCAUUACUAUGGAAAAUGAUGGAUAGCAAAAUCCACAAUCGAUCAUGUCCUUCAAGUCGCACGUUGCUUUCUACCACAUCGUUUUAAACGAAGUUUUACCAUAGCAUUCCUCUAAUUUCAUUUCAAAGUGGUAUAGGGAAUUGAUCCAAUAUGGAUGGAAUCAUGAAUAGUCAUUGGUUUUGUUUAGUAUUUUGUAUACUAAUUAAAACUUGCUAUCUGUGGAUAAAUAAGUAUUUAUCCGGGGAAGACUCAGCAAGGAUCCAAUUUAUUUAAACCCAUAUUCUAUCAUAUGAAUGAAACAUAGUUCAAAAAAGACAAAUAGCAAAGUCAAUUGAAUUUUUAAUAGACCACUAUGCUAGGCAUUGAUCCCAUUUAAUUCAUUGCUUUCGUUGUGUUGUGUUACCAACAAACGUACCUUCACUCUUAUGCCGCGUGGAUUGCUCUCCCUUUGCUUGGCGGUACUUCUCUAGCCAAUGACCCAGUGGACUAUCCAUGUCAAGAUCGACCGAGAGGGGUUCAAAAUCAUUUAAGUUGACAGCCCUCUUGACUGUUUUUAUUACCCAAUUUGCCGUGAUCGGGUGUUUGAAGUGAGUCGGGUUUUCGCACUCUGUGCGAUUCGGUUGUCGGAGUCUUAGGUGAUUCAUCAUUCCUUAGAAGCAGCUUCUUUCGCAAUCGAGAACUGUCAUGAACAUCUGGAUGGGAGCGGUCAGCGAGAGUUAAUUAUUGGGGACAACAGGGCGAUCCAUAUCUCUUGCAGAAAACAUGUUCAGUGGGCCUCUGCGAUUGCAGCAUCUUGUUAGUUUCUCUGCAGAAACCAACCAGCUCUGCUAGGGAAACGACCCCGGAGACCAGCCUGAUAGACUAUAUCUAUGAACUUCAAAUAAGUCCCUACUUUCCUAAUAAGGGUACUGGCUCGCGAGGAGAAAAAGAAUGGCCCUACAAAAUGACUCUCCUAAAAUCAAUGUCUGGAAGUCCUUUUAAGAUGGGUUAAUAUAAGAUAUGCUAUGCUUAACACUUAGGCUUAGCAAGAGGGACUGGCGCGUGAGACCGAGAUCGCCAUAGAUUGAUUGUGCAGGCAGGUAAUACUCAUUUUAACUAGAGAGAGGAUAUUAUACAAGAGUACUGGUUAUAGUCACACUCCCAAACUCCCGAGAAGUCUUUUUUACUUAACUCUAGGACUUGCUAUAAGGAUGGAUUGCUUUUACCCUAGAACCCUCUAUCCCGAUCUCGAAUUGCGCUUGGCGCCCCCAGGUUGGGCACAAACCCAGGUAGCCCCUAAACCCGGGCUCAGUCAAGAGCGGCAUCUGAAUCCCGCUGCAAUCCCUCCUGCGCUGGUGGAGAAAAAGGGGCAAAAUCUCAGUGGCCGACCUAAUAUGUUGGCUCCACUACCCGAAUCUAUUCCCCUUAAUCCUCCAAGCCAAUCAAUGCCCCAUACCCUUAUCAUGGUCAGUCUCAUCUUUAGUGACUCCCGUGGUAAGGGGUCGAGGGAAGUGGUGUGGUGGGCCCCCUCACUUUUUUUGGAAAGAAGACAGGACCAACGAUAAAUUCUUUUGAAUUUUUUUAAGAAAUCUUCAGAAGAUGUCUCUUCUAGUAAGAAUAGAGAAGAUGUCUCAUCUAGUAAGAAUACACUUAUUUGUGAUCCUCCCUCUGUGACUGCUAUUCCUAUACUAUCAGAAAGUAGACUAUCCUAAGAUUCGGGUUGCGAUCCUCAAGGAAAUAAGCUUGAAUCUCAAAAAUACUAUUAGAGUGGGGAAACUUAUAGCUACCUGCUCUUUCAUUGAAAUGAACGAAUUACUGCCAGUAAUCUGAGAAUUCAUUGGUUCAAGGUGAUGACACACCGCCUUUUGGCUUGGUUCAAGCCAGCUUUCCAGCUAUCCAAUUACCGUGAGAGCUCUUGGACUGUUAGACCAAGUAAAGGUAUUUGUCCCUUCCCCUUACGAGCCUGUGGGUGAAAGUGCCCCUCCAAUUGCACAAGUCUCUCCAGUCCCAACAAGGGAAAAUCAAUCCAGUUAGCCAAUUUUUGAAAGCUUUUAAAAGUGCUUUACUAAAUAAAGUUCUCUUUCGGCCAUUGAGCAAGAGCAAGUAUUCAAGCAGGAGUAGAAAGCUUCGAUGCAUUGGAAGUUCGUUCUUCUACCUGCGAGUUCUGUUACAGCAAUUGGGAGUACCCUUUUCACCGCAAGUUCUCUUACAUUUAGUAAGCCAGCGGCGAGGGUGCCAACUCUUACGAGAUCUCACCCCGAUUAUAGUGAGUGCUUAUCCCUUGAUCUUCCCUUGGAGUGCCAAUUGUAUAAGAAAGUCUUAAGCAAGUAUAUUGAAAAUCUUAAGCUCAUCUAGUGCCAGUGCACGUCACUCUAUUCCCUUAGGGAAGCAGGUCAGCAAGUGGGACUUUAGGUAAGAAAGAAUCGUUCUAUCUGGACUCUUUCUAUAGGGUGUCGCAUUCAUUCCUCAUGGGAGUGUAGGAUUCCGAUUAUCUAUAGUAUUAGUACCCAUAGCGUAGAUCCUUGAAAUCUUAUUUUUUUAGAUGAUAUGGUGUACUCUCCAGUCUGGGGAUAUGCUAUAGUAUAUUGCACUGGACCAAUGCUCUUUACAACCCCGGAGUAAUACCUAUGUCUAGUGGCAGUCCCUGUUAAAGUGGCCAUAGGGUGACCGUAUCAGGCCAUUGACAAUUAGUAUAUACUACUUUCAUUGCUCCUCUUGGCAUUCUAGGAGGAGGGCCAUUUCUACUUCCAUGGAACCAGUUGUUCCUGCGAUUCCAGUCUGUUACGGUGCUGGUAAAAAGGGGGUUUGACCAGUUCUUUCUCUUACUUUCUUAGUAGCGGAUCCAUCAUGGAAAGAAGGAAACUUUCAUCCGGCGUACCUCGUGUGACUUCUAGCUGUGCCUACCGAGUCAAAGAACCUGCUUCAACGAAUAAUAGAAGGUAUCAGAAACCCCAUUAACCCUUAGCUGAUCCUGAAGCCACGGUUCUUGCUCCUAGGUACAAAUCUAUGGUGUAGCACCGCCAACAGUGGACGAGCGCCUACAUCGAUCUGUCUCCCGACAGGUUUCUUUUCAAUCAACACAAGCAGCAGGCGUAGCUUUUCAUUCACUCGCUCUAAGCACGGGAAUAGAAUAAAGGUAUGGGUCCCCCACCUUACCAUCCGUUCUGUCAGACCAAUUGCUAAAGUAUUCGAUUUGAGUGUCCACAAUCAGGAGAUGGGCCUUUCUCAAAUUGAACAGCCGGUAUUGUGGCAUUCGGAUCUGUCUUAUUGACCGGCUUUGGUCGAGCAACCGCUGCAUUUCUUGAACGGCUACUGCCUACAUAACUUGUCUUCCUCUUUUCAAGGAAGUUAGUCUCAGACCAUAUGUAGUUCUCGGCCCCUUUUGUUAGACCAGUUCCUUUCGGUGCUGAGUUCCUUACUGCCCUGAAACUGUACUGAAGUGGCUUCUUCACUCCAGCACAGAAGUCUAGUAUUCUGGUGAGUCCGAUUUGUUUAAUGUGGACCCUCUACUCACUUUUGAAUAAUGAAAUUCGAAAUUUCCAUCCCUCAUGGAUCAUCGAACGAAGGCAUUCGUUUCGGAUGAUUUCCCGCACCUGGAAGAAGAAGAAUAAGAAAAAGUAGACAAAUUUUUCGUAACACCGUGGGGUGUUCAUUUUAUUUUAUUUUAUUCCUUUGUUUUCCGUUUCUUUGAUAGUUGGAAGUUCUCCAAAAGUAUGAAAGGCUGGAGGGCUUUGUACCAACCAUUCUAGUGUGGUUGGAUUCUGUUCAACAGCCCAAGGACUUUCCGCACAUCUUUUGUUCUUUCCACUGCUUGAAGUGAUUGCGACAACUACGAAGAAACGACGAAUCCCAACUACGGAUAUAUAAGAACCGAAACUGCUCAGAGCAUUCCAUCCGGCGUAAGCAUCUGGAUAAUCUGGAAUGCGACGUGGCAUACCCGAAAGCCCUAAGAAAUGCAUGGGAAAGAAGGUCAGAUUAACCCCGAAAAAAGUGAUCCAAAAAUGGAUUUGGCCUAAAGUUUCAGGAUAUGUCCGACCAAAGAUUUUACCCACCCAAUAGUAAAAUCCAGCAAAUAAAGCAAAAACGGCUCCCAUAGAAAGUACAUAAUGGAAAUGUGCAACCACAUAAUAAGUAUCAUGUAGAGCAAUGUCUAGCCCAGAGUUUGCUAGAACUAUUCCAGUGAGCCCUCCUAUGGUGAACAAAAAGAUGAACCCUACAGCAAAUAACAUGGGUGUUUUGUAUUGUAUCGAACCUCCCCACAUGGUAGCGAUCCAACUAAAGAUUUUGAUUCCAGUGGGCACAGCUAUGAUCAUGGUAGCUGCGGUGAAGUAGGCACGCGUAUCAACGUCUAAGCCCACAGUAAACAUAUGAUGAGCCCAAACUAGAAAUCCAAGAACACCUAUACUUAUCAUGGCAUAAACCAUGCCUAGAUACCCGAAGACCGGUUUUCUUGAAAAGGUCGAUACGAUAUGACUAAUAAUACCGAAUCCAGGCAGAAUGAGAAUAUACACCUCUGGAUGACCGAAGAACCAAAAGAGAUGCUGGUAUAAUAUUGGGUCUCCCCCUCCUGCUGGAUCAAAAAAGGUUGUAUUAAAGUUUCGAUCGGUUAAUAACAUUGUAAUUGCCCCUGCCAGUACCGGAAGUGAUAAUAAAAGUAGGAAUGCUGUCACUAGAACGGACCACACAAAAAGUGGUAAUCUAUGCAUAGUCAUUCCAAGUCCACGCAUGUUGAAGAUAGUAGUUAUAAAAUUGAUAGAACCUAAAAUUGAUGAAACACCUGAUAGAUGAAGACUAAAAAUUGCUAAAUCAACUGCUCCUCCAGAAUGGCUGGUAAUACCACUUAAGGGCGGAUAGACCGUCCACCCAGUGCCGCUGCCCACUUCUACUAAGGCUGAGCUUAAUAGGAGCAAGAGACUUGGUGGCAACAACCAGAAUGAUAUAUUAUUUAAUCGUGGAAAUGCCAUGUCAGGUGCACCUAUCAGAAUCGGAACAAACCAAUUCCCAAAUCCACCUAUCAUCGCCGGCAUAACCAUAAAAAAGAUCAUUAAAAAAGCGUGAGCCGUUAUUAAAACAUUAUAAAGUUGAUGAUUCCCACCAAGAAUUUGAUCGCCGGGUCGGGCUAAUUCCAUACGAAUCAGUACGGAGAAGCAUGUGCCCAUCACUCCUGAUUUUUGCCCGAAACGAAGAGCCAACACAGAGUCAAUUGAGUCACGCCUCAGCUAACAACUGGGCUCAAGGUAUUCACCGACCCUCCAAAGAAAUGUUGUUUUACGUUGUGUGUAAUCAACACAUUUAAAUGUCGGCCGUUAGUAUCUUUGAAUCCUGUGAUUGUUUUUUAAAAUGAUAAACUCAUUGGCAUUGGAAAAUAGAUUCAUAAUGCUACAAAGCUGUUAUUAUAUUUGCAUCUAUCUUUUUACUACUAAUAUGUUGUAAAAAAUACUUUGCUAGUGACUAUAUCCUUGUGAUUGGAGUGAGUCGCUUGCCAAGCCCUGUGCCGCAUUACACGAGCUAGUUAUACAGUUCUUUUGUUUGAAAUGAUUUAUGUCUGCUACCAGAGGCAAAAGUGUUUUUGUCAUUGUACUAUUUUGUUAGGUUCAGCAACAAUAUUUUAAAUGACAAUUUGUGGGCAAAGUUCCAUCUUUUAGGCCCUACAAAAUUGUGAGUUGCGACCGUUUACAUUCUUUUUUUUCAAUUUGAUGAAUGUAGAACACUUGGAGGAGCUGGUGUUAAUGAUGGUGCACAGCGCAGACACCGCACGCCACAACAGGGACCAGUGCCAGCAGCUGGCGCAUCAAGCCCUUAUCGUCGGAAAUCUGCUCCAGAGGCCGCUGGGGACGCAGAGGUCCCUCGAGCAGCUGGAAGACAUACUUUUCCGUGGAUACAUGCUCAUAUGUUUCUGCAGCCAGUACACCAGAAAACAACUCCACCUGAUGUUCACAGGAGCCGAUGUGGCCUCUGUGUUUCGGCAAGCGCAUGAGGAGAUCAGACGCCAAAUCUAUCACCUGACCGGCGUUGUUCCGGCUCAGGUCUCUCUCUCUCUCCAGAAAACUUGAGUCUUUUUAGAUAAUUUUAAGCAGUUUUUUCAGUACACACGUAAUCCUCCCUUCUAAUAGCGGAAUCAUGAUUUUGGAGACGUCAGGCAAAAUUUGUAUAAAAAUUAAAUGAGCAUCACUUAAUUUAACAAUCAACAUAUAUAAUUGGUUAAUUAUUUGCACACCACUUAAAAGUUAUAUGAAGUUCUUUUCUAAUAAGAAGAGAAAGAAAUGGCCAGCAUCCUCUUCUGCUCAGCCUUGUCCCUACAGUGGUUUUGGCUCUACUCAUUUUCAUGGUUGUUAGGGCCAGGUUCUUGUGAGGUUUAGGGUUCCCUAACUAAACCUGUCGCAGUAGAGCUAGCCGUCUUUAUUCUCUUAUUGCGUUCUAGUGGAGACGUGCUGGUUCAAAUUUUGAAUAGUGUAAUAAUGUUGUCUGUGGGCUGUUCUUUUUUUGGAAGUUUCCAUUUCGAAUUCAAAAUUUCAAAACUUAGAGGUUUAGACCAUCUGACUCUUUUCGAUAUGUGGAAUAGUUUGGUUUUCCUUUUGGGAAUGUUGGCUAGCGCAAAUCCUUCUGCGCGCACAUUGGCACGAACGUGGAGCCAGGAAUAUUGUUAAUUAAUUGUGCCGGCGGCUCUAGGCUGGAUGAGAGACAGUACCAGAAACACCUAGCACAGUUCGUUUCCGUCCCUUUAUGUCAAUGCCCUAUUUUUCUCCACUAAGGCUAAUCCAAGUUUGAUUUUGAUAUUUCUAAGAUAGCCACAUAAGCAACAUGAAAAUAAAAUUAUAUUUGAAACUACCUCUACAAUGUAAAAUUUUAUGGUGUAAUUUCAUAUGUACUACAUGCAAGACACAAACUGUGUUGGUAGCUGUGCAUACAUGGUUUCAUCUAGAUGAACUCCUCUUACCUCUCUUCUCAUUAACUCACUGCCACAUCAUCAAAAAUACUGACAUGGCACCCUAAUUAUUGUGCAUGAAACCUCUAUAAAACUUAAUCUAAUAUCGUAUAUUCAGGUUGCAGAUGCCGACGUGACCACCAAUAAUCCCGUCCCUGUUAUUGUAAUUAUGGCAGGCGACGGUCCCCCACCGGCUUUUCUAGGUACUUUUGCAGUUCUCUCAUGUGGAUUUCUGUUCCGUAUGCUUGAAUCGAGGUGCUGUUAUACACCAUUUUGCACAAUAUCCGUAUCCUUCCAGCAUCACCGGGGAUUGAGAUGGCAAUUGCACUGGCACAUACAUUUCUCUAUAGAAUUAGUCAAAACACUCCCCCUAGAUCUCCUGUAUUGGGUAUAAUUUGUACUAUAACUUUCAAAGCCGGAUAAAUCCCGCAAAGAGCCUUUUGGUUGCUGUCUGCCUGUCUUUGAAACGGGCAUCUUUAGAUCUUUCUGUUUUAUGUGCAUUUGCAGAGAAAUUGACGGUUUUGAAACAUGAGUAAUAGUAUGUAAUCACCUACGGUUCUAUAGUAGGCAUGGCCAUUAUUGCUGAUGGUUUUAAGCAUGGCUAUUAUGACUGAUGGUUAGGAAGGAUGAACCAUUUUCCACAGUUAUCAAAUAUGAAUUGUUUGGUUAAUAAAUUGCUUGUCUUCGUUUCUUGUAGCUCCUCCGUUACAAUCCAAGCAGAAUGUGGCCAAGCUAGCACCUCAUGGAAACCGAAUUCCUUUUGUUGUGCUACAAGAGGCAACAAAUUACUUCGAUAACCGGAUGGUCAUUGGAGUUGGAGGGUUUGGAAAGGUCUACAGAGCCGUGAUGCAGGACGGAAGCAAAGUCGCAGUAAAGCGCGGCAACCCGAAGUCUCAGCAAGGGUUGGCGGAGUUCUGGACGGAAGUCGAGGUGCUAUCAGGGGUGCGACACCGCCAUCUUGUGGCGCUCAGGGGUUACUGCGACGAGCAAAAUGAGAUGAUCUUGGUGUAUGAGAACAUGGAAAAAGGCACUCUGAGAAGUCAUCUUUAUAACAGUGAUAAGCCGCCUCUCAGCUGGAAUAAAAGGCUCCAAAUCUGCAUAGGAGCAGCAAAAGGACUCCACUACCUUCACACUGGUUUUAAGAAAUCAAUAAUCCAUCGUGAUGUCAAGUCAACAAACAUUCUUCUUGACGAAAAUCUGUCAGCCAAAGUUUCUGAUUUUGGCCUCUCAAAAGUCGGGGGUGGUGUUGAUGAUACGCAUGUUAGCACGGUAGUCAAAGGGAGCUUCGGUUAUCUUGAUCCUGAGUACUUCCGGAGACAGCAGCUGACCGACAAGUCAGAUGUAUACUCAUUUGGUGUAGUGUUGCUUGAGGUGAUCUGUGCAAGGCCGGCCCUCAACCCAUCUCUUCCAAAAGAAAUGGUUAGCCUUGCAGAAUGGGGUAUGGAGUGGCAAAAGAGAGGGCAGCUUUAUCAGAUCAUCGACCCACGGAUUGCUGGGAAUAUCAAGCCUGAAGCAUUGAAGAGGUACGGGGAUACGGUUGAGAAAUGCCUUGCUGAUCAUGGCGUCGAUCGUCCCACAAUGGGAGAUGUCAUAUGGAACCUGGAAUACGCGCUGCAGCUGCAGGAGUCAGGCGAAGACAACUCCAACAUGUCGAUGAAUAACACCUUCUCACAGUUGGUCAGUACAGAUGGGAGGUGAACUGGAUUGAAUUGUUGUGUAGCGAAAGGAAAAAUAUUGAGUACAUGUACUAGAAAAUCACUUGCGUUCGUGCCACUACUGCUUAAUAGGGUUUCAUUCCUUGUUCAUAACUCCCUUUCACAACCAGAAAGUGAACUGCGGCUACACAUACAAACCCGAACUGGGGGUAAAAGUAGCCUUCACUCAUGGUCUCUCGUGAGCCGGUACUGCCCACUGGCAGGGUAGAUCUCUGUUAGUGUUAACCCUAAAGGUCAGCCCCUCUUGCUCAACCCAACUACACAUGUUGAUAGAGGGGAGCAUUUGCAGUGAGUUGAGCUAGAUAGGGAUUGUAGAGACCAUUAGGGAUUUAGGGUCAAAAGUUUUGAAUACCACCAGUCCUCAACGCCACCUGCUCAAGGGGAUGAGCACCUCGUGUUGGUGGUUACCAAGCCCAAACAAGCUAAGUGUACGAGGGCCCUGCAGUUGUGUAUUUUAAUGUCACAGUGUUGACGCAAAUUCAGGACAACACACCAAAUGUGCUAGAUCAUGUGGUCGUCGAAAGUCAUCUUGAGGAGUCUAUUUCCUCGACCGGUCAGAUCGGUCCAGGAAGUCGGUCAAACUAGUGCACAGGAGCGUCAUGAAAACUUAGAAUCACCAACCUGAGAGGGACCCCAUCUAGGAUGGCAUACCUAGGGUUGCUCUGAGAUCGGCAGGCCACUCAGAACUCCCUCAACCAUCGUAAUGAUGAAGGAGGAGAAGCAAAAGGGGUUGGAAAAAAGUAAAACUCUCAAUCAGUCAUAGCGUUUAUAUUUAUAGAGUCGGGAGGUCUUGCCCUACAAGGAAAUCUUUUUACAAGUCAUGAUCUAUAAGGAUUCCUCAGUUCUACUCAGACUAGGGUUAGACCGGUCAUACCGCUCUAAAAACCGAUCAAACCAGUUUGUAUUGUUAGACCCACUAUAGGACCGAGACUGGUCUACCGGUCAGUCUCGCCAGAUCGGCUUGGUGCCAAUUUUGGUCACCAACACAUGAUGACUCUGGUGAUGGUGGAAGCCUUCCACCCAUUGGAGACCUUCCUUGUGGGGGAAACCUUUCACCCGAUGGGGACCUUCCCCGUGGGGGGAGCCUUACACCCGAUGGAGACCUUCCUCGUGAAGGAAGACUCCCACCUGGUGCUGGCCAUACAUCCAUGGAUCCGCCGUAAGGUUUGGACAGUCCUAGAUAUAGGGCUGUACACCGAGACGUGUUAGACAUAGAGACUACGAUGCAGGAUGUCGUGGUCUACAUGGAGGAUAAAAACUAGUCGAGGAUUAGCAAACUACUCGUAGCAAUUAGAGUAGGACCCUCUAGUCGAAUUCGACUAGUACUCUUGUAAACAAUCGACCUGUAACCCUGCCCUCGGCAAUAUAAGGCGAGGCAGGGACCCCCCUCCAAACAAGUUCAAUCAAUACAACACAACCAACAUACAUGACGUAGGGUAUUACGCGACUUAUGCAGUCCAAACCUAUCUAAAUCGUGUGUUCAAGUUCACCUUUGAGUUCCUAAUCUUGGCAAGCCCCACGCAUGAAACACUACCUCGAGUACCCCCUCGGUAGGUUGCCGCGUCUAAACAUCGACAACUGACGCACCAGGUAAAGGAUCUCGCUGAGAAUUCACUGGCGAGCUCGAUGGCUUAGGUCAUCAUCAAGCCCAACGUCACAUUCGAAGUGGGCGCGACAUUCAACUUUGGCUCCUAGGCUUGCGUCACAGUCGACGCUGAAAACUUCCACCGCCACAUCACACCGGUCUCAGAGGAGAAGCACUACGACAUCAACCUUCAUCGCCAAGCUUUGGAGUAUUUUGUUGAAAAAUUCAAUGAAAUUUUUGACGUCUUCCAAGGCUCAGGGGACGAGUCUGAGUACAACUUGAAUUCUCCCACUAGUCAGAUUGGUUUCCAUGAGCUGGUGCUUAAGCCAUCGUGCGAAUUGGUCUACAACACAAUUUGAUUCCCGUUCAAACUCCGAAACUCAGGCGCUAUCUACCAAGACACCUUGUCCGUAUCAUAAUUCAACUCGGAUUUGAUUAAGGACCCCGACUACUACUCGGAUUUGAACGAGGAGCCUCCUUUAUCAGGUCCGCAACAAGGCCUGGUAAUCACAUCUACUCCACAAGGCAAAUUCAUCUUCUGGCCCAACAUGAAGCCACUUACUCUCGCCAAGGAUGAUGAGUCACGCCUUGUCACCUACCUUGAUAACCUCCCAUACCAGGAGGGAACCCCUUCAUUGCCUAUCUAUGAAGAAGACAGCUUCACAGAGGUCAUCACAUUAAGUUCGGGUAGUUUCUCUCCGGAAUGGGAACUCCUUACCAUCGUUGAUGCACAAGCAGGUGACGGUGAAGAACCUCUAGAAAGGAAUCUGCGACAUGAACGUCACCCAGAUGAUGUGUCACAGGAUGAGCUCACCGUCAACAUAGUAGGGGAAGAAACUGAAGCUCAAAGGGAUCAAAGGUGAGCAAGAAACGGUGCAAGAGCAGAGCGUCGCCGCCGCCUUGCAUCUGACCUACCCAUCAUGAACUUGGACCACGCGUUUGAAGCGGUUUAAUCGCAUCAACAUCAUACUCCUCUCGCCACCAUCACUUCCAUUGACCUGAUUACUCGGGCAUUGCCACAAACCAAGUACACCAGGCAACUAGCUCUACUGGUGGAGUGUGCGUACGAACAACUCGAUCAACAGAGCCUGAUACACUCGAUUCGACACACCUCAUCCUAGCAUGGCAGCAUCCUUAGACCAAGUUGAAAUGAGGGUGCCAGACCAAGUCGAAACGAGGUUCCUAGAAUCGAGAACCCUAGACCAAGUCAGCACAGGGCAGAGAGUAGUCGGGCGGGACCCUCGGGAGGCCGUGGCCACCGUGGGCCCCAUCUAGAGCUUGAACCCCCAACACGCGACCUCCGACAGAAGCUCAAGAACAACCGCGAUGCCGUACAAUCAUUGAAGGGCGCCGCCAUGAGCGCGAACAAGAACUCGAGUACUUGGGAGGAGACUCUAACGGGUUCCCCACCUUCUCAAAAUGAGUACAAAAGAUGGUUCUACCCGACAAAUUUAAACCUCCGGGUAUUAUAAGUACAACUGCAAGAACGAACUAGUCCAAUGGUUGAGGUGCUACUCGCUGUCAGUCCAGGCGCCCCAUCUGCAUGGAGGCAGAGCCACUCACAUGGAUAGAAUCCCUAAAAAGAACUCCAUUAACACAUGGAGUCAAUUAAAGGAGGCGUUCACAAACAACUUCGCAACGGCAAUGCAACGUCCUAGCAAUAGGAUCGACUUGUCUCAAGUCAAACAACACAAGUCAAACAGCAACAAAGCGAGACCUUGUGUAGUUAUCUAUGCUAUUUUUUCGACAAGAAGACCACUAUCAUGGACAUCACGGAGCGGGACGCCAUAGAUUGCUUCCAGAACAGUCUUUAUGGCCACUGGAUGUUCCAAGAUUUUUGCAGGUAACGCCCAAAAGAUAUCAAGUCUCUCAAGAUCAUGUUACAAGUCUAGGCGGAUGAAGAAGAUAAGGAGAUCAAGCGGUUCGAGUCUAGUCAUAACAGAGGCUAGAACAACAACCAAAGUAAUGGCCAAUGCAAUGACAAGAAUCGCAACGAUUGACCCAACAAUGACAACCGAGGCAACUACUUGAGUGGUCAAAAUCACAAGAGGAAGCCAGACAAUACUAUCGUAUCCGUAUGAUUUGCAUAUCUAGAAUGACAAUAAAGCUAUGUGAUUUUUUUCACUAGAUUGAGUGAUGCUUUGUUGUACUUGAUAGAAUAACUACUCUUCUAUCUGAAAAGCACAAAAUCGAUUCGAUUUUAUUCAACAUUACUCUGGCAUCUUGCUAGACAUGCAGAGCGGACAAAUAUUGUGAACCGGAGUGUCAAGUAGGAAUUAACAAAAGUUGCAAAUGGGAACAACCUCUCUUUGUAACAAAAAAAAUACUGAUAUACUUUUUUUUAAAAAAAUUCGACCACAAAGUAUGCGCCAACAAACUCUUUGUUACAUAUCAUUCCUGUGGCAAACAAGUGCUCAGCCACACACUUCAAUUUGUUUGGCCCCAUCAGUAUUUCAGGUUUGUCCGGAUACAGAAGGAUGUGUUCAUAGAUCAUUUUCAGGGAGAGAAUAAACAAAGCAAGGAGUGCAAAUGAAUGACUCCUCAAAAAGUCAGAAGAAGCACAAUGCCUGCCAUAAUCAUCUAGGAAAGCAUUACCUAAAUACUAUGCUUUUGAGCCGCCCAAAUGGCACCACCACAAAAAAGAUUUUAGGAGCGGUUGAGUGGCAUUAGCAGAGGCGGGUCAGUGGUUCGCUUCUGCAUUUGACUGAUUCUGCUAAUGCCAUUUCGAAGGGUGGGCCAUGCCAUGACCCACCCACCGCUAGAUCAAUGGACAGGUCGAGCAUGCCAAUAGCCUGAUUCUGCAAGGGUUCAAGUUCGAAAACUUUGACCCAUUGGGAAAAUACGCAACAAGAUGGCUAUGAUAGUUGCCCCACAUGGUUUGGAGGAUGCACAUAUACAAAAGUAGAGCCGUAUGUAUACCCCCUUCCUCUCGGUGUAUGGAUCAGAUCUACACCAGCGCUCCAUCGACCUCAUAUAUAUAUGGCACCAGCACUACAACAUUGAAGACUAGGUGGCACACUUAUAUUAUGAUCUAGCACAAGCGAUAUGAACAAUGUCUCCACCACUACACGACCAAAAUGUCCAAGAGAGGGUGUUUAGCAUUGGCGACUUGGUGCUCCGACGAUCCCAGUCAACUGAUGGCAUGCACAAGUUGUUGGUCCCGUGGGAGGGACCCUUCAAUGUCAGCAAGGUCAUAGCUAGGUACCUAUCGCCUUCGGUAUGAAGGCGGCACAGAUGUGCCAAAUCCAGUGGUGACUAUCAUCUCUGUGAGGGUGCACACACACACAUCAUAAUCAUAUGAACACCUCCUUAGAAUGAGCUGAUAGAUGUUCACAACCGCAAAUUUCUCGCUUUUGAUAGGUAUAUCUUUUACCAAUAAAAAAACAGAAUUGCUAAAUUAUAAAAAAUAAUCGUGAAAAAUUCGAGCACUCAUCCGAAAUCAAGGAUUUAAACCCGAAUAAGUAGAUUCCAUCACAAGGAAUCUUACUAACUGAAGUAUAUUAAGUAUAUUAUGUACGCUAUAGAAAACCACCAAGCUAGAGAUCUAUAUGCUGAUUGAUUGUGCUAUAUUAUACAUAAUACUUCCUUCAUUUCAAAUUGUAAGUUAUUUUAGCUUUUCUAGAUAUAUAGUUUUUCUAUGUAUGUAUAUAUGCCAUACAUAUAGGAUCAUAGCAAAAGUUAUGUAUAUAGAAAAACCAAAAUGAUCUACAAUUUGGGAUGGAGGGAGUAUGAGUUAAGGUCCUUCGGACAGACAUAAUACAAAAUAAAUUUUAUGAAUACACAUCGCUAUAAUAGCGGCACGGUGAUAAAAUUUAAUAGUAAUAAGACUAGAUUAUAUGAGUACAAAUUAUUCAUAGAGCAAAGUACAAGGUCAUGCUGAACAAACAAAUUUGGUCUGUAAUCCCGAAUACAGAAUCGAGAUUAUUAUCACGAAAAAAAAUUAACAACUGAUGAAGUGCGGAUAUAUAUUUCCUUUGCAGAUCUUCUGUGGCUUGCACCAAGAACAAUCAAAAGGACUGCAUAAAACUCACGCCUUCUCGAAUUUACAACCAGCAGUACCGGAAACCUACAUAUAUAAGGUUAUACAGAAAAUUAAUCAAGAGUAUACAUGCAUAAGUUAAUUAAGAAAUCUCCAGCUUCAACUGCUAUAUACAAUACAGGCCUAUAUGUCAUAAUAUAUGCUUUUAUCCAUACACUGGGUGUGACCUCUCUCUCACACACUCCUCGCAUUGAUUUGGACUUGUAGAAAGAGGACUUCGUUCGCCAUUCACCCCGGAUCUUAGGGCCUAUGUGGCCAGCUCCAGCUUCAAGUUCUAGUUUCGAUCUAUAUGUAGACUAAAUUAAAGUCAUUUAAGUAUUUAUAUUUAGUCUAAACUACAAAUAAAAUUAUUUAUUUAAUCUUUCGAGAUACUGUGCACCUACACUAGAUCUACGAUUCUUUUGGAGCAACAAGUGAAGAAUUCAACAAAUUUCUAGAGCUAGAGCUCUGCUAAAAACCUUGAUUGAGGAUUACCGUCGAUGCUACUUUUCUGUCCUAAAGAAUAAUCUGUGCAAUACCUAACGUUAACUAUAUGGCAUAUGUGGUUACCAAAUUAACAAAUUUGUACCGUCGGUCCUAUACCUAACUAUGAGAAUGUACACAUAUGGGUAGAACAUCAUCAAUGCACAACUACGGCAUAAACUAAUCGUACUUGAUGGGCCAUGAUGAUGGAUACAGUCAUCAUAUAUAACAAUCAUUGAGAAAAGGACAAUGGAAAGUUUUCGGCACUAGCAGUAUAUAAGUGAAUAAAAAAGUCCAACAAAUAUCCAUUGCAUCAUCAUCUUCAAAUGUGUUACUAAGCAUAGAAUAUUAUAUGAAACUUCUGUCAACAUAAUCUGUAGUAAACUUAAAUAGGAAAAUGGGUGCCCACCAUAUUAAAAAUCCAGUAUUAUUGUGCUUACAUUUGUACGGUUCAUUGGAGUGUAAAACGCAUGUAUCUUGAGUUCUGAAAUCCUUGUAUUUCCCGUAUUUGUGAUUUCUGUGCGUGUGACAGUACCCUUUGCCAUACUAAGUUCUCCAGUGCCUCCAACAAUGCUCCAUUCACCAUUUAUUUGGGAAGUCCCAGAUAUUUGUAGUGUGGACCCAUUGAACCUGUUUUGUGCACAGAAGCAUAAAUGAAUAUAAGAAAAUGUUAUCAUAUACUGCUCCAACAGCAAGAAAAGGUAAUUCUGUGGGGUUACUUGCAGUCAAUCAAUAUAAUUUUUCUCAACAUAUAUAUCAUGUGGUAUGUUGACAAAGGGAAAAUCCGAUGAGUCGUCGGACCUUUUUCUUGAAAAACAGAAGUAAAACUUGUGUCUAAGAGACCAUAACGUUAUAAUUGAAUCAAUGAGUAUUAGCAAACAUAAGUAUUACCUCUAAAAGUAAGUACCUAGAUAUACUCUUUUUGGGAGAGAUUGUGAAAGCAGAUUGUUGUCUUGUGCUAAAGAAUAAAUUCUCACCUUUUAUCCCCGAACACUAAUCCAAGGGAGUAGUGCCACACAUAAUUGGGAGUAUUGGCUACUUGAACACCUGUGCCCUGCAGAUGGCCGACGAUAUUUGCAUUGGUUCCUGGCCCAUCGGUUACAGGCCACGAAAAGACCCAGGUUGUACCCAUUGGCUCUUUGUUUAUAACCGUUACUCCGUUUAUGCCCGCUCCAGCAUACACCUCCUUGUUGUACAGGGUCAUCUUAAGCUCACUUUGAACGGGAGAUAUUGUGUAAGAGGCCAUGGCUAGGGGGAGUGUUAAUUCCCAGAAGGAGGGGAGAGGGUGUAUGUUAUCCUGGAUAGCUCAGCUAUUCUCCUCUUUCAUUAUGUUUUCUGAGGUUGAGGAGAUGGGGUGUAUUUAUAGAUGGAAGUAGUGAGGAAGUAGCAGAGCCAGAAUGCGUGGUCUCAUGCAGGCUAUUUUUUCUUUAGCGUGUAAUGGUUCUUAUAAAAUGCAGGGGUCUAAAAAAAGGCAGGAAGCAUCAACAACGUCAUGGACCAUAGAAGAAUAGAAGAUAAUCGUCAACUAAUAACCUCAUGCCAACUGGAAGACCACGCAGAUGUACAAUCGAUACGCUGUCAUCUGUUCGCGGAUGCAUUUGGUCCAUAUACAUAGUUGACAGCAUCCUCAAAGUCUUUAUAGCCUCCUACCGACUACCGAGGUCUCGUGCGUUCACACUUGCAUGCAUGCGCAUGGAUGCUCGGACUUUUAGCUGUCCUUUCCUCCUUUUUUCUUUUGAGAAAAACAAAGCAUGGACAUUUGUCGCUCAUGUACACACAAACAAACUGACCCCUAAGAAUAUAUACGCACUCAUUCUAUAUUAUAAGCACCUCCCAGAGUUUAAGGCAUUCAAAGAAACACAGCGGACCAAUACAUUAUAUGUAUAAACAAAAGUUUAAGGCACUCCAUAUGUAGCUAGCAAAUUAGGAGAACUUCCAGUAAACAACUCAGAGGUCAAACAUCACCAAGUGGCAUGUGCAAGUUGCCACCGUCAAGCCACAGGCGAUUAAUAUGCAUUUAGUCGAGUAACGUACUGACGCAUCAUUGCUGACGUGGAAAAAACAACCCUUGAGAAAGAAUCGCAGAGGACACUUAAUUGGAUGUACCAAGUCUUCGUAACAUAGAAUAUGACAAGUACCAACAGAUUGAGUAGACAUUCCUCUAUUCAAAUGCAUAUGUUGGCAGAAGCAGCUAGCAAUGGCCAAUUCAAAUGCCAUCUCCUCCUAGGCUGCCAGCAACGAAUGUUAGUUCAAGGUGUAGACAGCCUAGGAGCUGUUGGCAUUUGAUUCGGCCAUUAUUGUUGCUUCUACGAGUGAAGAACUGCUAGUUUUGGCACCUGUUACAAGCGUCGGCAGAAAUUCUGCCUGGGAAGGAGGGGUAGGGGGCGGUUUAGUGUUUGAGUGUGUUUACAUCCUGAAUGUUGAACACCAGAAAUCGACUACGAAUUAAUCGAGACGCUAGUUUGCAAUUGAAUAGAGCAGUGCCAUCUGAAGCUGUCUAUUCCUAUCAUUUUUCCUCGGCGAAGAUGAUGGAUAGAGCAGGGUGUCCUAUCAAUUCUUACCAGCUAGCCCACGUACGUAAAUAAUGGUCACUUCAAUUCCUCCUUGUCCUCCAGUGAUUCAAAUAAGCUAAGGGUACCCUGCUAAACUUUAGCACAUGUCACAUCGGAUGUUUGAUACUAAUUAAGAAUAUUAAAUAUAGUUUAAUUACAAAACUAAUUACACAAAUGGAGUCUAAUUCGCGAGACGAAUCUAUUAAGCCUAAUUAGUCCAUGAUUUGACAAUGUGGUGCUACAGUAACCAUUUGCUUAAUAGAUUCGUCUCGCGAAUUAGACUCCAUCUGUGCAAUUAGUUUUGUAAUUAGCUCAUAUUUAGUCCUCCUAAUUAAUAUCCGAACAUCCGAUGUGACCCUGCUAAAGUUUAGCACCUCGUAUCCAAACACCCCAAGGCUGCCAAAAGUCAAAGCUACCAUUGCCGGGAUCCUUGACUUCUAAGUUCUAACACACGGAAUCAGAAGCGCAGAAAUCUCCUCCUAACCGCGCAAUGAAGUAUACCCCCGAAUUGGUAAGAGAAAAUAUAUAUGCCAUUAGGAAAUUCCUCGCAUUGAAGGAAUUUUUUCAAUCUCUAACAGUUGCAUGAGGGGAAAAUUUGAUCCAACCAGCGGUUUACUAUUCGAACAUUAUCAUAAUAGUCUAUUAUCUAGAGUUCGAAACCAAUGUUCAAACAUCAAACUAUCAGCGGUUCACUAAAAACUAGUUCAUGCUUCACCAGUCCGAAACCAAACUGAUAGUUCAACCAAUUCGCACCGGUCCAAUUGGAGGACUAAUCUUUUGAUUGAACUGAACCGGUCUGAUCACUGGUUCACGGUUUUUCUGGUUCCAUCGAUAAUCUGGUUUGCUUUUUUAUUCUAUGCCGUGUACACUAAGACAACAUGAGUACGAAUGGAGAAACGCUAGACUUGUACUUGAACCCACUGAAAUGGCGGCUAGGAGUGGCGAGCGUUAGGGGUGUGCCAUUAGUGCAGAGAUUUCGCAAAGGAAUGAAUUUGUUGUAGAUGGCACCAUUGCCCAAACAUGUGUACUGUAUGUUUUCUCAAUGUGAUGUUCCAAAGAUACGUGGCUGGAAAUUAAACUAUAUAUUCCUUCAUAGGAAAAGACGGGUCCUGCCCUCCUGGGUAUGAACUCUCGAGACCAUGGCACCACCAAGCACUAGUAGAGAACUGACUUUCGAUGCGCCCCCUUUUGUCCCGGUUUAAAGUAGGUCCGGGAGAAAAGGGGUGUGCCACGGUAGGCAAGAAUGGAGGGAAGAUUUACUCCCAGUUAGUAUUUGGUUGUAACAGCUAGUUCCAGGGUGUCGGUGGGUUUACCCUUUUGUCCUGGUUGGAGGCUCCAACCGGGACAAACGGACACACAAAUAAAUAAAAGAAAAUCGGUUUUUAUCCGUUGAGCUCCAAACAGAAAACGCGAACGGAAAAUAGGUAGAAGGAAUAUUUUUGGGAAAUUUGGAUAUGGAUCGGCGGAAGUAUUCUGGAGGAUGACGUGGUAAAAUUAGGGAUUAAUUGGAGGAAGUUUGACACAUGAAAUGACGAGUUAAACAUGGAUUAGGGGCUUAAAAGGAGGUUUAGGACUGAUUUGCGAUAAACCAGGGACCUAUUUGUAAAUAUUUUGGAGGUGGAGGGGCUUAUCUGUGAAAAGGGGUUAUGAGAGUGGUGGAAGGACUAAUCUGUAAUUUGAUGAAAGUUGGGGGUUAGAUCGGAAUUUUUAGGAAACUUGUUCCUUCUUCUUCCAGGAAUCAGAGGGGGAGAGAGGGAGUGGAGGGUGGCCGGCGGCGGCCGGCCGGGUCCUGCUGGCGGGGAGCUGAGGGUCGGGGCGGCGGAGGGAGUGGAGGGGAGCCCAUUUUGCUUCUCACCUCGGAGCUUUGAGGAUGGGGAAGGGGGUGGCCGGUAAUGGCUAAGAGGCGGCGGCGCACGGGCAGCAGUGGCGAGCUGGGGCGUUGGUGGAGUGGCAAGGGAGGCUGGGCGGGUGGCCCUUUUAUAGGCCGGCGGCGGGGUGGGGGUCCGGGCAGGAGGUGGCGCCGGCGGUAUGGGCGGAGGCGGGGUCCGGCAGGCGCGGCGGGGCUCGGGGUGGCGUGCAGCUCGGGGGUCGGCGGGCGGCGGUGGCCGGGACGGCACCGGUGGCGGGGCCGGCCGGAGGCGGUGCUCGGGUGGGGGUAGGGGCCGACGGCGGCGCGCCGUGCGCGCAGGGGCUUGCGGGACUAGCGCCGAGGCGGUGGCAUGGGGCCCGGGGGGCGCGGCCCAAGGCGGCCAGGCGGUGUGGCGCCAGUAGAGGUGGCGUCGGGGGGAGUUAAGGCCCGGGUAGGUGGGCGCCAGGAGGAAGAAAGGAAGAGGAAAGAGAAGGAGGAAGGAGGAAGAAGAAAGAAGAAGAAGAAGAAAGGAAGAAGGAAAAGGGAAAAAAAAAAGAAAAAGGGAGGGAAAAAGAGAAAGAAAAGGGGGAGACAGGCGGCGCUCGCGGCACGCGGUCGGAGCACGCGCGUGGCGUCUGAUGACGUCACGCGGCGACAAUUACGGGCACGGAUAAAAUGAUGGCUGUCGGCUUGGGUGCCGGGACGGCGAAAUCGCUUGGAAGGUUUUUGAAUUCCGGGAGCUCAACGGUAAAAAGGUUUUAAAAGUGAUUUUUAACGGGUGAUUUUAGGUUGUUGAUUUUGCGGAUGUUACAAACCUACCCCACUUAAAUUGAAUCUCAUCCUCGAGAUUCGACUGAGUCCUCAAAAGGUGGGGAAAUUCCUUCUUUAACGCGUCCUCGCGUUCCCACGUGGCCUAUUCUUCGCCAUGUCUACUCCAUUGUACUCUGCAAAUCCGGACUGCUGUAUUUCUUGUCCUUCUGGUGAUGGUGUCCAGAAUCUUGACGGGCACUUCUUGAUACCGAAGGUCCUCUUGUAGCUCUAUUGUCUCCACCGGUACUUGUUCCUCCGGUACUCUCAAACACUUUCUCAGCUGGGAGACAUGAAAUACCGGGUGUAUAUCCGCUAUUUCCUCGGGCAGUUGGAUACGGUAAGCUACGGCUCCAACUCUUUUUAACACCUGGUAAGGUCCAAUAUACCGAGGUGCCAGUUUUCCUUGUACUUGAAACCUUCGAGUAACCCGACUCGGGGAGACCUUGAGGUAGACAAAAUCUCCCUCAUUGAAGCACAAUUCCCGUCUCCUCCUGUCCGAGUAGCUCUUCUGUUUGGACUGUGCGGCCUUCAGCUUCGCUCGGAUUUCUGCCACGCGGUCUUCUGCUCCCUUGAUGAAAGCAGGCCUAACUAGGGAGCGUUCUCCUACUUCUGACCACAUCAAAGGGGUCCGACACUUUCUACCAUAAAGGGCCUCAAAUGGUGACAUGCCUAGACUGGCUUGAUAGCUAUUGUUGUAUGAGAACUCUGCAUAGGGUAAACUUUGUUCCCAAUCUUUGCCAUAGGUGAGGACACACGCUCUCAGCAUAUCUUCUAUGAUUUGAUUGACCCUCUCUGUUUGGCCAUCAGUCUGGGGGUGAUAGGCUGAACUAAAGUCCAAUUUGGUGCCUAUGGCUUUAUGAAAACUUCUCCAAAACCUAGAGGUGAAUUGAGUUCCUCUAUCCGAGAUGAUCCGGCUGGGCACACCGUGCAGCUUUACUAUGUUGUCGACGUAAAGUCGGGCUAGUCUUUCUCCACCAUAAGUGGUCCUUACGGGUAGGUAGUGAGCGACUUUAGUGAGUCGGUCCACUAUUACCCAUAUGGAGUCAUUUCCCUUCUGAGUUCUGGGCAAGCCUACUACGAAAUCCAUACCGAUCUCAUCCCACUUCCAAACCGGGAUAGGCAAUGGUUGCAGCAAGCCGGCUGGCUUCUGGUGCUCGGCCUUGACCCUUUGGCAAGUAUCACAACAGGCGACAAACUGAGCUAUGUCUGCCUUCAUCCCAUUCCACCCGUAUCUCUAUUUUAAGUCCAUAUACAUUUUGGUGGAUCCGGGGUGAAUGGAAUAUGCCGAGUUAUGGGCUUCGUCCAUGAUGAUGUGCCUGAAUUCUCCGUCCUUGGGGACACAAAUUCUAUCCUUGUACCACAAGGUUCCUUUGUUGUCCACUCUGAAAUCCGGGGUUUUAUUUUCUCCGGUUUGCUUGCGGAUUUUUACUAAGUCCUGAUCUGAACCCUGGGCUUCUCGGAUCUCAUCCUCCAAGGUGGGCUGGACACUUAGCUUGCGACUAGUAUUCUGGGGAACUAUGUGCACAUUUAACCGAGCUAUUUCUUCUUGUAGGCGGGCAUUCUCGGAUCCGGGCUGUCCAUAGGAUUUCCGGCUUAAGGCGUCAGCCACAACAUUAGCCUUGCCGGGGUGGUAGUGGAUCUCUAGGUUGUAGUCCUUUACCAGUUCUAACCACCUCAUUUGCCUUAAAUUCAGGUCGGGUUGGGUGAAGAUGUACUUUAAGCUCUUAUGGUCGGUGUAGAUCUCACACUUAUUCCUAAUCAGAUAAUGCCUCCAGAUCUUGAGGGCAUGCACUACGGCUGCAAACUCUAAGUCAUGGGUUGGGUAGUUCUGCUCAUGGGGCUUAAGUUGGCGGCAAGCAUAGGCCACAACCUUCCCAUCCUGCAUGAGGACACAUCCUAAUCCUUGUCGGGAUGCAUCACAAUAGAUGAUGAAGUCUCGCUGGAUGUCAGGUAAGGUCAAUAUUGGGGCUGUCGUCAACCUCUUCUUCAGCUCUUGGAAGCUCCGCUCACAUGACUCGGUCCAGGUGAACUUCUUAUCCUUCCUGAGUAGCUCUAUCAUGGGCCGGGCUAUCUUGGAAAAUCCCUCAAUAAAUCUCCGGUAAUACCCAGCUAAACCCAGAAAGCUUCUAAUCUCACUAACAUUGGUGGGUUGUUGCCAGUUGGAGACAGCUUCAACUUUUUCUGGAUCAACUGUGACUCCUUCCGCAGUCAGGAUAUGACCAAGGAAUGCCACUUUCUCAAGCCAAAAUUCGCACUUGCUGAAUUUAGCAUAGAGUCGGUGGGCUCUCAAUUUCUCUAACACCACCCGUAUAUGCUGUUCAUGUUCCUGAACACUCUUGGAGUAAAUAAGUAUGUCGUCAAUAAAGACUACGACAAACUUAUCUAACUCAUCCAUAAACACCUUGUUCAUGAGGUUCAUGAAAUAAGCAGGUGCAUUGAUCAAUCCAAAAGACAUCACAGUGAACUCAAAUUGACCAUAACGGGUGACAAAGGCCGUCUCGGGAUGUCGCUCUCCUUGAUCUUGAGCUGAUGGUACCCUGACCUCAGAUCUAUCUUGGAGAAAUACUUGGCUCCUUUUAGCUGGUCGAAUAGGUCAUCUAUUCUGGGGAGUGGGUACUUGUUCUUAAUGGUAACCUCAUUCAGCGCGCGAUAAUCCACGCACAUCCUCAUGCUCGCAUCUUUCUUCUUGACAAAAAGCACGAGGGCUCCCCACAGGGAUGAGCUAGGCCUGAUAAAGCCACUCUGCUGCAAUUCUCCCAACUGUUUCUUCAGUUCGGCUAACUCUAAGGCUGCCAUCCUAUAGGGUCUCUUGGCUAUAGGAGAGGUUCCGGGGACAAGGUCAAUUACAAACUCUAUGUCCCUAUCUGGGGGCAUUCCAGGUAGUUCCUCAGGAAAGACAUCCGGGUAUUCACUUACUACAGGGACUCCCUCUAUGGUCUUGAUUUCCAUGCUAAACACCAUGGGGUCUGGGCCACUCCCUCGAGUGUGACAGGUCACUUGUACACCAUCCCGAUUGGUUAGGUGCACUAUCUUAUCGGCACACCCUAUAUGACCGUCAUGCAGGCUCAACCAGUCCAUUCCAAGAAUCACAUCUAUCCCCUUAGACUUAAGUACUACUAGAUCCGCUACAAAUUCUACCCCACUUAAAUUAAUCCUUACCUGGGAACAACCUAGUUGACACUGAAUGUCAGCUCUAGGAGUCCGGGUUAGUAGGGGUAACUUUAGUAGUACUGUGGGUAUAUUAUGUUCUUCCACAAAACUUGAGGAUAUGAAGGAAUGUGAUGCUCCAGAGUCAAAAAGUAUUGUUGCCAAGACUAAGCUGACUAGAAACUCACCGAGUACCACGCCCUGAGCUUCGCGACCUCUUGCGCGUUGAUGUGGUUGACGCGGGCUCGUCCAAAUGAUUGCUGGGGCGGCCUCAUCUGCUAGCUGUUGUUGUUGCUGGGGUUGUUGUUGCUGCGGACUGGCACACGGUUGGCUUCUGACAAUGCUGCCCUAGGCCCCGCUACCGAGUUGGAGAAGGCUGACGCUGCUGGCUUGUUGGCAUAGGGGCAGUGGGCGAUGAAAUGCCCUAGCUCUCUGCAGUUGAAGCAUGCCCUGCUGUUGCUAGUGACUUGGCUGGCACCGCUUUGUGGGGCCUUAGCAGGGUUCUGGCUCCUGAACGGGGCAGCGGUCUGGUGUGAAACGGGUGCUUGGGAUUGGGUCCGGUAAUGCAUGGGAGCUUGGGAUCUGGGCAAGGGAUGACCGAAGCUCCUUGGCUUCUGGAAUCGGUCCUGCUGGUGCGUCUUGCUCUCUAGGAACCGACGCUUGUUGUCCCUCCGUUCUUCUGCCUUGGCCCUCUCAGUCAAGAUGGCCAUGUUCAUCAAGGUGUUGAAGUCGGGGUAGAUCUGGGGAGUGAGCAGGGUCCUCAGUUCCGCGUUCAAGCCUUUCUUGAACAUGUCCUGCUUCUUCUCAUCCUUGUCCACCUCCUCUGGAGCAUGACGGGCCAGCUCCAUGAACUGGAAGGUGUACUCUUCCACAGAUCUGUUGCCUUGGCGGAGUUCGCGGAACUCAUCCGCCUUGCGCUUCAUGGUGGCUGUGGGGAUAUGGUAGCGACGAAAUUCUAUCACGAACUCAUCCCAGGUGAUAGUGGAGGCAUCCUGGGCGGUAGAGCAGUAGUUCUCCCACCAGGCUAGGGCAGUUCCAGUGAGCUGGUGGACAGCCAAGAGGACUUUGUCCCUGCCCUCGCAACCAAAUGGUUCCAGCUUCCUCUGGAUGAUGCGCAGCCAGUCAUCUGCGUCCAGAGGGUUGACGGACCCGCCAAAAGUGGGUGGCUUGGUUCGAAGGAAGUCCGUCAACUUCUCAUUCAUGUUCUGCCCACGGGGCCUCUGGCGGGUGACGGCGUUGGCCAGAGCUUCCAGCAGAAGGGACUGGUUGUUCAUCACUUGAACCAGAUCAAUGACUGGUGGAGGCGGUGGCUGCUGUGCUCCCACUUGGCUUUCUCCCCUUCCUUCUGGCUGACUCACCUCCUGCUCCUCGGGAAGCACUGCCGGAGGCGGUUCUUGCCUUUCUGGCUGCCUCUCUGCACUGGGGGUGGCAUGGGCCUGACUUGGGGAGGUCCUGGUGGUGCGCUUGGGUGGCAUCUGUAGAUUGAGUGAGACUUUUAUGAGAGUAGGAUUUGGGUUUUAGUGAUCUUUAGAGUUUUUAUUUCGUAUUUUUGAAGAGACAGAAUCCACCUUCUGUCAACAAGCACGCAGACUAACAAGCAACCAACACAAGCGAUUUUAUUCAUUUUGCCAGGGGGGGGUACAACACUGCUGGGGGUAAGGCUAAAAAAUGUACUACACGACCGGUUACAACAACACAACUGAAGGGGGUACAACUCUAAACUGCGGACCAUGACGGCUUCAUUCCCUUGGGCAACUCUGGGCUGGGCAUACUACUCACGGGGUGCGUCUUCUCCCUGGACUGAGUGGUCUUCUAACGGGAUGAGGAGGGAUGACUCAUCGUCCUUGUUCUAUGCUCCGCACACGGGAGGAGGAUCUGCGGCUUCUCCCAUCAUGAGCUCAAUGCCUCUUCUGGAAGCAUCGAGGAAGGGGGCAACCGGUGGAAUUUUGAGGCCGUGACAUUUGUAGUACUCGAGGGCGAGAGGGUUCCCGUCGGAGCAAGGAGGACCCUCGACUUCCGAGGCAACCAUCCGUCUUAUGGUAAUCCCCCUGAGAUGCGCCUCCUUAAGCUCUCAGAGAUGCCGAUCCUGAGCUUGCUUAAGGGCUUCCAUAGCUGCACUCUCUACACUUCGGGCGGCUACCACUUGUGCUCUAGCUUCCCUUAGCAUUGCUUGGAGCAUCCUUAUGUGAAUCUCUACCCUCUCAACGUGACGAACCUGUUGCUUCAGCUUUGUGGCCUGCUGAUCAUAGAGUCUAUCCAAGUUGAUGAGAUAAGCGGCCAUGUGAUAUACGGUGGUGUCCUCUUCACACCGUCCAUGUUCGUCCAAAGCUCUCAUCCGGGCUCUCCAAUCCGGAUGGUCCUUUUCGGCAGGUGGAAAGUAUCUCAUAGAUGUGGGCUCGAGGUGCAUCUCGUACAUCUGACAUAGGUAACCAAGGGCCUUUCAAGCCGCUACUGGGUAAGUGUCUCGGUGCCGGAAACCCAUAGCUGAUACUUGGAGCGGCUCGAUGUUGGGGUAGCGAGCACUCCUUCCAAUGUGAAUGAUUACUUCACACUGAGAGAUACCGUAGCGCUCAUAUUCUCUACUGGAAUACUCCGGGGGCUCUCGGAUGCCAAGGCACUUUAGGCAAACAAGCAACAACUUGGGGAAACCGGGCUCUUCCGUGCAACGGCUGUGGGUCCACAACCCUUCGUCCAUAUGGAAAAGAACCGGGGCACAAAUUAGUUUUGCAAUAGAAUAGAGGUCGGAAGAAAUUUUGUAAGUUUUUUUAUUUUGGUCAAAAAGGGCUAGUCCGGUCCUAAGGUCGCGUCCUACAACCAAACGACGGCUCUGAUACCACCUGAAGCGUCCCCACAUAAGUAGAGACUAAAUGUGAUACAAAUAUUAGUUACAGGAGUCUGAUAGCAUAUUUAUUCGAUAGAUAAUUCAGUUACCGUACAACUUCUGAGGGAGUGGGCGUGAAAGCCACGCAGCGAUAAGAAGUAAAUAAACAACAGCGGCUAACUAAGCGACCACCAAAAGACAUCACUCGGGACUACACGGCAGUAGCAACAUCUUGGAAAGGCCAACACCACAGGCAGCGUUGGGUGCGGACACAACCUCUACUCAAGGUCCUCGGUGAUGAAGUCCGGGUCUUUCUCUGUAGCAACGAAGCAAGGGUGAGUACGAACGUACUCAACAAGUCCAACCCCAUCCACGGAGGGGGAUACAAGCAAGUAUAUGCACAUGAUAUAUCAAGGAUAGGCUAGAGUUCAUUUGCGGUAAAGCUAAAUUCCCAACACAUGCAUGGGCUCGUUUUCAAACAAGUUUUCAUAAAGCUUUUCUUUAGUAACCGAAACAUUGAGUGGGGCUGAUCCUACACAAAGGAUUCAAGUUUUAUCGCUAUCGGACUCCCCGUCCGCCAUAGCUCACGGCACAACUGCCGGACACUUCCAAAAUCCAACACACACACAC